UAAAGCAACCACACACCUAUUCUGGAAUAGUGUACAAAAAUCACAUAGGCCAUCCCGACUCCUAACUGAAUCCCCUCUUCCACCGUCAGAGGACGAGGGCACUUUUUGGCAUGAUGGAGAGAAGCGAGGGGGCAGGGGUGGCCAGAGAGACGGCUGGAGUGGAGGCGGGGGCACCAGCGUGGGGUGAAGGCAGAGGCACCACGGGAAUGUAAAUUGCAGGACGCAUCCUGAGGCAGUGAGUGUUCGGGGCAUUCUUGUGGGUGGUCACUUGGGCCCUAGAUUAAAGGCAGAAACACAGAAAUGCCUUGGGGGACGUUGUAAACUUCAACAGCUCUAUCUGUUGUUUCAGGAAUGAGGGAGAAACAUUCACCAGAAGCUUCAGACUGGGAGGAGACAGAGUCUUUGAGGCAACCCAGGGGCUUCUUAGCUGCAGCUGUGUCUGCUUUGAAGUUCAGUCCACUCUCCCCAGGAAGCCAAGAGGCUCUCAAGUGCUUGCAGCAGAGAAGUUUCAUAGAACAGAAAGAGCAGACAGAGGCACGCUGCGCCCUCCAGCACGGCUGCCUGGCAGGAAGCUUUGCUGAGAGAGUCCUGCUCCUCGCUUAGCUCAGCACAGCGAGUCCCCUGGCUUCAGCUUCCCUCCUGAGCACCUGACGGUUGUCGGUUUACUGUGACUCACUGCCAUUCUAUCUGCCUGGGCUUAUGUUUCCAGCAUCUCACCAGAGCUGUUGUGACCCAUCUCCUGGGCAAAGCCUUCCACGGAGAGGCUGCCGGGCCAGCAGGAGAGGAGACCCAAUCCAUCCAUCAGCAUUUGAAUAAUUCCAUCCACACAUACUUCUCUUCCAAACACCCGGGCUAUUUUCCUUUCCCUGAGCCAUGCAAGCCCAAGGAGCCAGCAGGGUUGCGUGCUCUCAGGAGUAGGACACGUCACAUCAACUUGAGUGCUCCAGGAGCCCUGCCACAAUGGUUUCUUUGUGAGAUCAUCUUUGCAGCGGUUUCCUGAAGCUCUGGCCUCCUUCCUGGUAUCUUCACACAUUCUAGGUGUUUCAAUUCAGUAAAAACAUAAGGGCCUUUUGACUGCUCACUCCUGCACUUCACACUGGGAAGGACACAGAAGUCCCCAGAGAGUGCCCUGGACGACAAAAUGUAGUUCAGAGGUAUCUAAGGUGGGUUCCACCCAAAAGGGUCCCACAAAGAAAGAAUUCCAGGGCCAAUUAAAUUUGGGGAUCUGCAUAGUCCAUCUCUCUCUUGGUGAUUCAAAACAUAUAUUUAUAUAUAUUAAAGGUUCUGAGAAGUCCUGUAAGUAAAUCCUGUUCCACUUUUUAACCCACCAUCUCCCAAACCCAGCAUGAUACUGAUAUCAGCAUGCUACUCUUUUCAUAUAACACCUACUUAUAUAUGAAGGAACUAAUUGAGGUCUUUUGAGAUAUAUUUUAGGAAAUGAUCUAACAGUGGUUUUUAACCUAAGGAAACACCUCACUAGAGAGUGCUUGGGCACAGGAGGUGGCAUUUUGGGUUGUCACAAAGAUGGGGAGGUGCUACUUGCAUUUCAUACAUAGGGGUUGUGGGGGCAGGGGCAGCUAGUGCUGUUACAGUGAUGAUGCAAUGCGGCCCCGUCCCAAGUGGGGUGGGGGGCACUGUCCUGCCCUAAAUGCCCACAACUCUCCCCACGCCGCUCUCCCACCCCAUUGAGAAGCAGUGGUUGGACCUACGCUCAGCAUUGUGCUCCCAGGCCCUCUCUGCGGGUUCAAACGCCUCUUGAUGUCCUCUUGGU
rnacentral:lncRNA from 1 species